AAACACUUAAUGUCAACAAGAUUUUCUGAUUGAAAAGAGAAAAGGUCAAACAGGAACUUCAAUUGUGAACAUUGCAGAGAACACACUCAUCAGAAGAUGACCCUCAGAAAUAGGAGAAUUAAUGAAUAAAAUGGACAGAGGCAGAACAGAAGGAGAUGCAUGAAAUGGGGAAUAUUUCAAAGAUUGCCUGAGCAUAACCACUGCUACUGGAUAAACAUAUGGCAAUA